GGGAUAUUACACACCUACCAUUUGCUGAGCGAGAGUUGAUGUUAAUAAAGAUUGCUGUAAACACUACUGCUAGAAGGGAUGUUCUUGAUAUUGCUGGCAUUUUCCGUGCUAAAGCCGUUGAUGUUUCUGAUCACACAAUUACUCUUGAGCUUACUGGCGAUUUGAAUAAAAUGAUUGUACUGCAGAAGUUACUAGAGCCCUAUGGGCUUUGCGAGAUUGCACGAACUGGGAGAAUGGCAUUGGAGCGGGGCUCUCGUGUGGAUUCCACUUAUCUCCGUGGAUAUCCCCUUCCAUUAUAAUGCAGGGGUUUCCCACUGGAUUUUGAUAUGGCUGACCACGUAA